CCAGACUUUGGCCCCUGGAUUUAGGUUAGUAGAGCUAAAUCCCUUAUCUCCUCUUACUGUUUGUGAGAUGGGGGCUGUUCCUUUGUGUACCUGUCCCUGGUAAAUGGGUGUUGUGGUACCUGAUUUAACAAGAGGACCUUUAUUUCUCCUUGGUAAUCAGCGUCUAUGACCCCUCCCAUUACAUGUAUCCCUUUAAGGGCCCGGCUAGACCUGGGUGCAAUUAGUCCAAAGUGUCCCGGGGGUAUCUGUAUUCCUAUACCUGUGGGGAACAUCUGAACUUGCCCUGUUUGAAGUCUUUCUUCCUUUCUGGCUUGCAAGUCUAUUCCUGCAGCCUCUGAGGUAGCCCUGUAUGGUGCCAUGGCUCCCUCCUCUGUUUCCCAAUAUGUGAUGGUGUUAGUUGCUACAUAUGGUUUAGCUUGUAUAUUGGGUGC